rnacentral:rRNA from 1 species
AACGAACGCUGGCGGUAUGCUUAACACAUGCAAGUCGAACGAGAAAGCCCCUUCGGGGGCAAGUAGAGUGGCGCACGGGUGAGUAACGCGUAGAUAAUCUGCCCCUUAGCCUGGGAUAACCUUUCGAAAGGAGGGCUAAUACCGGAUAACACCUUAGGUCGACUGGCCUUUGGUUAAAAGAUUUAUCACUAGGGGAUGAGUCUGCGUAGCAUUAGCUAGUUGGUGAGGUAACGGCUCACCAAGGCAUCGAUGCUUAGCGGGUCUGAGAGGAUGAUCCGCCACACUGGAACUGAGACACGGUCCAG